GAUGAACGCUGGCGGCGUGCCUAAUACAUGCAAGUCGAGCGAACAGACGAGGAGCUUGCUCCUCUGACGUUAGCGGCGGACGGGUGAGUAACACGUGGAUAACCUACCUAUAAGACUGGGAUAACUUCGGGAAACCGGAGCUAAUACCGGAUAAUAUAUUGAACCGCAUGGUUCAAUAGUGAAAGACGGUUUUGCUGUCACUUAUAGAUGGACGCGCGCCGCAUUAGCUAGUUGGUAAGGUAACGGCUUACCAAGGCAACGAUGCGUAGCCGACCUGAGAGGUGGAUCGGCAAACCGGAAACUGAGACACGGUCAAGACCCCAACGGGAGGCAGCAGUAGGAAUUCUUCCGCAAUGGGCGAAAGCCGGACGGAGCAUCGCCGCGUGGGUGAUGAAGGUCUUCGGAUCGUAAAACUCUGUUAUUAGGGAAGAACAAAUGUGUAAGUAACUAUGCACGUCUUGACGGUACCUAAGCAGAAAGCCACGGCUACCUACGU
rnacentral:rRNA from 1 species